AUGGUUAAGUGACGAAGCGUAUACGGUGGAUGCCUUGGCAGUUAGAGGCGAUGAAGGACGUGUAAGUCUGCGAAAAGCUGUGGUGAGCCGACAAAAUGCAUUUGAGCCACAGAUGUCCGAAUGGGGAAACCCACCUGUUUACAGGUAUCGUUACGUGAAUACAUAGCGUAACGAGGCGAACGAGGGGAACUGAAACAUCUAAGUACCCUUAGGAAAAGAAAUCAAACGAGAUUCCCCUAGUAGCGGCGAGCGAACGGGGAACAGCCCUUAAGCUGUUUAGUGUGUAGUGGAAUCCUUUGGGAAGAGGAGCGAUACAGGGUGAUAGCCCCGUACACAAAGCGUGCUUUACAGUGAAAUCGAGUAGGUCGGGACACGUGUUAUCUUGACUGAAUAUGGGGGGACCAUCCUCCAAGGCUAAAUACUCCUAACUGACCGAUAGUGAACCAGUACCGUGAGGGAAAGGCGAAAAGAACCCCUGUGAGGGGAGUGAAAUAGAACCUGAAACCGUAUACGUACAAGCAGUGGGAGCCCUUCGGGGUGACUGCGUACCUUUUGUAUAAUGGGUCAGCGACUUAUAUUUAGUAGCAAGGUUAAGCGAAUAGCGGAGCCGUAGCGAAAGCGAGUGUUAACUGCGCGUUGAGUUGCUAGGUAUAGACCCGAAACCCGGUGAUCUAGCCAUGAGCAGGUUGAAGGUUGAGUAACAUCAACUGGAGGACCGAACCCACUGACGUUGAAAAGUCAGGGGAUGACUUGUGGCUGGGGGUGAAAGGCCAAUCAAACCGGGAGAUAGCUGGUUCUCCCCGAAAUCUAUUUAGGUAGAGCCUCGGACGAAUUCCAUUGGGGGUAGAGCACUGUUAAGGCUAGGGGGUCAUCCCGACUUACCAACCCUUUGCAAACUCCGAAUACCAAUGAGAACUAUCCGGGAGACACACGGCGGGUGCUAACGUCCGUCGUGGAGAGGGAAACAACCCAGACCGCCAGCUAAGGUCCCAAAAUAUUGCUAAGUGGGAAACGAUGUGGGAAGGCACAGACAGCUAGGAGGUUGGCUUAGAAGCAGCCACCCUUUAAAGAAAGCGUAAUAGCUCACUAGUCGAGUCGGCCUGCGCGGAAGAUGUAACGGGGCUAAGCAAUAUACCGAAGCUGCGGCAGCAUGUUUACAUGCUGGGUAGGGGAGCGUUGUGUAAGUGGAUGAAGGUGAGUUGUAAAGCUUGCUGGACAUAUCACAAGUGCGAAUGCUGACAUGAGUAACGAUAAUGGGAGUGAAAAACUCCCACGCCGGAAGACCAAGGUUUCCUGUCCCAUGCUAAUCAGGGCAGGGUAAGUCGGCCCCUAAGGCGAGGCAGAAAUGCGUAGUCGAUGGGAAACGGAUUAAUAUUUCCGUACUUGUAUAAUCAGUGAUGGAGGGACGGAGAAGGCUAGGCAAGCUUGGCGUUGGUUGUCCAAGUGAAAGUGAGUAGGCUGGAAUUUUAGGUAAAUCCGGAAUUCUAAGGCCGAGACACGAGACGAGCUCCCAAGGGAGUGAAGUUGUUGAUGCCCUGCUUCCAGGAAAAGCUUCUAAACUUAUGAUUAUAUGAACCGUACCCCAAACCGACACAGGUGGUCAGGUAGAGAAUACUAAGGCGCUUGAGAGAACUCGGGUGAAGGAACUCGGCAAAAUUGUACCGUAACUUCGGGAGAAGGUACGCCUCUGUUUGUGAACACUUCGCGUGGUAAGCAAAUGGAGGCCGCAGUGACCAGGUGGCUGGGACUGUUUAUUAAAAACACAGCACUCUGCAAACUCGUAAGAGGACGUAUAGGGUGUGACACCUGCCCGGUGCCGGAAGGUUAAUUGAUGGGGUUAGUCCUCGGACGAAGCUCUUGAUCGAAGCCCCGGUAAACGGCGGCCGUAACUAUAACGGUCCUAAGGUAGCGAAAUUCCUUGUCGGGUAAGUUCCGACCUGCACGAAUGGUGUAACCAUGGCCACGCUGUCUCCACCCGAGACUCAGUGAAAUUGAAAUCGCAGUGAAGAUGCUGUGUACCCGCACCUAGACGGAAAGACCCCGUGAACCUUUACUACAGCUUGGCACUGAACAUUGAACCUACAUGUGUAGGAUAGGUGGGAGGCUUCGAAGCACAGUCGCUAGAUUGUGUGGAGCCGUCCUUGAAAUACCACCCUUGUAUGUUUGAUGUUCUAACAUUGGUCCCUAAUCGGGAUUGUGGACAGUGUCUGGUGGGUAGUUUGACUGGGGCGGUCUCCUCCCAAAUAGUAACGGAGGAGCACGAAGGUUAGCUAAUCACGGUCGGACAUCGUGAGGUUAGUGCAAUGGCAUAAGCUAGCUUAACUGCGAGACAGACACGUCGAGCAGGUACGAAAGUAGGUCAUAGUGAUCCGGUGGUUCUGUAUGGAAGGGCCAUCGCUCAACGGAUAAAAGGUACUCCGGGGAUAACAGGCUGAUACCGCCCAAGAGUUCAUAUCGACGGCGGUGUUUGGCACCUCGAUGUCGGCUCAUCACAUCCUGGGGCUGAAGUCGGUCCCAAGGGUAUGGCUGUUCGCCAUUUAAAGUGGUACGCGAGCUGGGUUUAGAACGUCGUGAGACAGUUCGGUCCCUAUCUGGUGUGGGCGUUGGAUGAUUGAUGGGAGCUGCUCCUAGUACGAGAGGACCGGAGUGGACGAACCGCUGGUGUUCGGGUUGUCAUGCCAAUGGCAUUGCCCGGUAGCUACGUUCGGAACGGAUAACCGCUGAAAGCAUCUAAGCGGGAAGCCGGCCCAAAGAUGAGUCAUCCCUGACCUUUAAGGUCUGGAAGGGUUGUUAUAGACGAUGACGUUGAUAGGCAGGGUGUGGAAGCGUUGUAAGGCGUUAAGCUAACCUGUACUAAUUGCCCGAGAGGCUUAACCAU
rnacentral:rRNA from 1 species